rnacentral:rRNA from 1 species
UUUAGUAACGGCGAGUGAAGCGGUAACAGCUCAAAUUUGAAAUCUGGCUCCCUGCGGAGUCCGAGUUGUAAUUUGUAGAAGAUGCUUUGGGUGCUCGGCCCGGUCUAAGUUCCUUGGAACAGGACGUCGUAGAGGGUGAGAAUCCCGUAUGCGGCCGGGGUGGGUGCUCGUGUAAAGCUCUUUCGACGAGUCGAGUUGUUUGGGAAUGCAGCUCAAAAUGGGUGGUAAAUUUCAUCUAAAGCUAAAUAUGGGCCAGAGACCGAUAGCGCACAAGUAGAGUGAUCGAAAGAUGAAAAGCACUUUGGAAAGAGAGUUAAACAGUACGUGAAAUUGUUGAAAGGGAAGCGCUUGCAACCAGACUUGGGCGUCGCUGAUCAUCCAAAGUUUUCUUUGGUGCACUCGACGACGUACAGGCCAGCAUCGGUUGGGGUGGUGGGAGAAAGGUUGUAGGAACGUAGCUCUUUUCGGGGAGUGUUAUAGCCUGCGACGCAAUGCCGCCUACCCUGACCGAGGACCGCGCUUCGGCUAGGAUGCUGGCGUAAUGGUUGUAAGCGACCCGUCUUGAAACACGGACCAAGGAGUCUAACAUCUAUGCGAGUGUUUGGGUGCGAAACCCAUGCGCGAAAUGAAAGUGAACGUAGGUGAGAACCCUUCGAGGGGGCAUCAUCGACCGAUCCUGAUGUCUUCGGAUGGAUUUGAGUAAGAGCAUAGCUGUUGGGANCNAAA